CUUGGGGGCAGAGGUGGCACGGUGU
rnacentral:miRNA from 1 species